AUUCAUUGGGCGUAAAGGGUGCGUAGACGGCGCGGAAAGUCCGGCGUGAAAGGCAGGGGCUCAACCUCUGGACUGCGUUUGGAUACUUCCGUGCUUGAGGACUGGAGGGGAGACUGGAAUUCACGGUGUAGCAGUGAAAUGCGUAGAUAUCGUGAGGAAGACCGGUGGCGAAGGCGAGUCUCUGGACAGAUCCUGACGCUGAGGCACGAAGGCUGGGGGAGCGAACAGGAUUAGAUACCCUGGUAGUCCCAGCAGUAAACGAUGUGAGCUUGAUGUGGGGGGAUUCGACCCCUUCCGUGUCGAAGCUAACGCGAUAAGCUCACCGCCUGAGGAGUACGGCCGCAAGGCUAAAACUCAAAGAAAUUGACGGGGACCCGCACAAGCGGUGGAGUAUGUGGCUUAAUUCGAUGCAACGCGAAGAACCUUACCUGGCCUUGACAUGCAUUGUGUCGUCGGUGAAAGCCGGCUGGUCCUGGAAACAGGACGCUUUGCACAGGUGCUGCAUGGCUGUCGUCAGCUCGUGUCGUGAGAUGUUGGGUUAAGUCCCGCAACGAGCGCAACCCUUGUGGUCAGUUACUAACCGGCUUAGCCGGAGGACUCUGGCCAGACUGCCCUGUCAAACGGGGAGGAAGGUGGGGACGACGUCAAGUCAGUAUGGCCCUUAUGGCCAGGGCUGCACACGUACUACAAUGCCUGGUACAAUGUGAACCGAAACCGCGAGGUGGAGGAAAUCGCUCUUGAAAACCGGGCCCAGUUCGGAUUGGAGUCUGCAACUCGACUCCAUGAAGUCGGAAUCGCUAGUAAUGGCGUAUCAGCAACGACGCCGUGAAUACGUUCCCGGGUCUUGUACACACCGCCCGUCACAUCAUGGAAGUCUCCUGUACCCGAAGCACGUGCGCCAACCUUUCAGGAGGCAGCGUUCGAAGGUAUGGGAGGUAACUGGGAUGAAGUC
rnacentral:rRNA from 1 species